AAACCCCUUUCAGGAGGGACGAAGGUGCGACGGUGAACAGCCGCUCGCACUGACGGUACCUCCAGAAGAAGCCCCGGCUAACUACGUGCCAGCAGCCGCGGUAAUACGUAGGGGGCAAGCGUUGUCCGGAAUCAUUGGGCGUAAAGCGCGCGUAGGCGGCCCGGUAAGUCCGCUCUGAAAGUCCAAGGCUCAACCUUGGAAUGCGGGUGGAUACUGCCGGGCUAGAGUCCGGAAGAGGCGAGUGGAAUUCCUGGUGUAGCGGUGGAAUGCGCAGAUAUCAGGAGGAACACCAAUAGCGAAGGCAGCUCGCUGGGACGGUACUGACGCUAAGGCGCGAAAGCGUGGGGAGCGAACAGGAUUAGAUACCCUGGUAGUCCACGCCGUAAACGAUGGGCAUUAGGUGUGGGAGGUGUCGACUCCUCCCGCGCCGUCGCUAACGCAUUAAAUGCCCCGCCUGGGGAGUACGGCCGCAAGGCUAAAACUCAAAGGAAUUGACGGGGGCCCGCACAAGCAGCGGAGCAUGUGGUUUAAUUCGACGCAACGCGAAGAACCUUACCUGGGCUUGACAUGUUCGUGACCGGUGUGGAAACACACCUUUCCUUCGGGACACGAUCACAGGU
rnacentral:rRNA from 1 species